GGUAACCAAUAAUCUUUUUCCUGAAUGGGGAAACAGAACAGCCAUGAGGAAAAUAUUUGAAAUGAGCUACCUCAUUUUGUGACUCUUGGUGCCAGCUAGGAUUAAAAACAGCACCCAAGGUAUUCGGGACAGCCAUGCUUGUAAAAGGAAAUUGCCUUCUUUUCAGAGAAAUAAGGCUGAAGCUGUGUGUAAUUGACUUCCUGUUUAAACAAGGAGCAUCCAGAGAGAGAAAGGAGGAGGAAACACGCAUUUUCCCCUUUACUCCUACUUAUCAGGGAAAACAACCUUUCAUGAUGUUGCCCCCAAAUUCUCUUCCAUGACAUCUUAGUCAAAACUAGGUUGUAUACCUAUGCCUGUAUCACUGACGAUUUGGAACAGGACUUUCAUGACUAGGUUAGAUGUGAUCAUUCAUCCCUGUAUCUGUGUGUUGUAUGAACAAACUUAAGACAUCUUGCAGCGAAGCAGAAGGGUCAGUGCCUGUUGGACAAGCCAACCACGUGUUUAUAAAAAAUACCUAGGAAUAAAACAAACUGAUGAUAUGAAAAACUUACAGAAGGAAAA